rnacentral:rRNA from 1 species
AUUGAACGCUGGCGGAACGCUUUACACAUGCAAGUCGAACGGCAGCACGGACUUCGGUCUGGUGGCGAGUGGCGAACGGGUGAGUAAUAUAUCGGAACGUGCCCAGUCGUGGGGGAUAACGUAGCGAAAGCUACGCUAAUACCGCAUACGAUCUAAGGAUGAAAGCGGGGGAUCGCAAGACCUCGCGCGAUUGGAGCGGCCGAUGGCAGAUUAGGUAGUUGGUAGGGUAAAGGCCUACCAAGCCGACGAUCUGUAGCUAGUCUGAGAGGAUGAUCAGCCACACUGGGACUGAGACACGGCCCAGACUCCUACGGGAGGCAGCAGUGGGGAAUUUUGGACAAUGGACGCAAGUCUGAUCCAGCCAUUCCGCGUGCAGGAUGAAGGCCCUCGGGUUGUAAACUGCUUUUGUACAGAACGAAAAGGCUCUGGUUAAUACCUAGGGCUCAUGACGGUACUGUAAGAAUAAGCACCGGCUAACUACGUGCCAGCCGCCGCAGUAA